AUUGGUUCAGGGUAUAUCUAUAUUUUCUUCAUCCCAGUUGCGUGAAAUGAACACUUGUUUCUCCACUCUAAGGUGGAGAAACAUAUGGAGGGAGAGCAGAGAGUGAGGGGAUGUCUCCUGUUCUGCUCUUUUCUGCUCUCUCUUUACAACUCAUAUCUCACCUACAGCACCUUGCAAGCCAUAACGUUGUACUUUUUUUCAGAAGUAUAAUUAAUAAAAAUGCAUUUGAUUCAAACAAAGGAAUGGAUGCAUUUUCAGGUAUACAGGAUUUUCAGGAUCUGACCAUUGGCUAAGUGUUCAUUUAAUUGGUCCUAUUUUGAUGUCCAACAUGCAUCAUAUGUCAUUUCUGCUGCUGGGGAACUCAAUAAAAACAAUGACAAUACUCAUGAGUGUUCUCCAUAGAAUUGUCUUCUACUUAUGGUGUUAGCUGACAUGGUAGCUUCAGUUAGUAAGAUGUUAUUCAACAGAUAUUUACACUCUGAAUCACAUCAAUGUGAUGCAGAUGUAUGAAAUAUGAAUAUGUUAUGAGUCAUAGAAGUAAUCGUCUCGGUGUAGCGUCAGCGUCCCCAGAGCCCAGGACCUCCUCCCGGGGCUCUGGGGGGGGGGGAGGCCUCAGCUGUGUGUGUGUGUGUGUGUGUGUGUGUGUGUGUUAGUCAGUGUGUGUGUGUGUGUGUGUUAGUCAGUGUGUGUGUGUGUGCGUGUGUGCGUGUGUGUGUUAGUCAGUGUGUGUGUGUGUGUGUGUGUGUGUGUGUGUGUGUGUGUGUGUGUGUGUGUGUGUGUUAGUCAGUGUGUGUGUGUGUGUGUGUGUUAGUCAGUGUGUGU